AUGGCCCCGGGGUCUUUCUCCGUGUACCUGGUGAAGGCGUACGACCCGACGGUGGUGAUCAAACUGAUAAAUGGAUUGGAUGGCUACCGCGGUCACGUGCACUGCCCGGUGUUCAGCCCAGACGGGAGGAGCAUUGCGGUGACAAUGGACCUGGCGGCAGUGUCGGUGGACCGAAACUCGUUGCCGAUGUCCAUGCAUGGGGUGCGGCUCUACGGCGACAUCUUCGUGGUGAACAUCAACCCAGAUGACAAUAUGAUGAGAAGCAAGGAAGUCAAGUGUUUCCGGCGCAUCACGCACAGCCGGUGUGAGUGCUCUGCACUGGCCUGGACAUCGGUGCCGGCAGACCCUGAAGUGUGGUGUAACAUCAUGCUAUUGCUGGCGGAAAUGGAAGGGCACCACGAUGGGUCACAACCUGAUUUAUCUUUGAGUCACAACCUGCAGCUUUAA
rnacentral:rRNA from 1 species